rnacentral:piRNA from 1 species
UUGGGAGCCAAGCAAUGGUGGCAC